UACUCAGCUUUCCCUUCCCACUCUUUAAAAUCAAAUGUAUGCUCCCGAGAAAGAAAAUAAUAAUCCCAUGUAACGUGGUAUGGAGUUACAAAGACAUAAAGAUCCAUACAUGUCCAGCUAUGAGCCUUGCUAACCUUGAUAUGAAGUGUUCCACCACCAAAUUCACUGCCAGUCUUAUUGUGGAACUGUGGACCUCCAUCCAAGCCUCGUUCUCGUAGAAACAGGCACCCUUCCACUCGACGGUUCCAUUUGGAGACGAGGCAG
rnacentral:misc_RNA from 1 species